CAUGUCUAGUAUAGCAUUAUACCGUGAAACUGCGAAUGGCUCAUUAAAUCAGUUAUCGUUUAUUUGAUAGUACCUUACUACUUGGAUAACCGUGGUAAUUCUAGAGCUAAUACAUGCUAAAAACCCCAACUUCGGGAGGGGUGUAUUUAUUAGAUAAAAAACCAAUGCCCUUCGGGGCUCCUUGGUGAUUCAUAAUAACUUCUCAGAUCGCAUGGCUUUACGCCGGCGACGGUUCAUUCAAAUUUCUGCCCUAUCAACUUUCGAUGGUAAGGUAGUGGCUUACCAUGGUUUCAACGGGUAACGGGGAAUUAGGGUUCGAUUCCGGAGAGGGGGCCGGAGGAACGGCCACCACAUCCAAGGAAGGCAGCAGGCGCGCAAAUUACACAAUUCCGAUACGGAGAUGUAGUGACAAUAAAUACUGAUACAGGGCUCUUUUGGGUCUUGUAAUUGGAAUGAGUACAAUUUAAACCUCUUAACGAGGAACAAUUGGAGGGCAAGUCUGGUGCCAGCAGCCGCGGUAAUUCCAGCUCCAAUAGCGUAUAUUAAAGUUGUUGCAGUUAAAAAGCUCGUAGUUGAACCUUUGGCCUGGCUGGCAGGUCCGCCUCACCGCGUGCACUUGUCCGGCCGGGCCUUUUCUUCUGGAGAACCGCAUGCCCUUCACUGGGUGUGUUGGGGACCAGGACUUUUACUUUGAAAAAAUUAGAGUGUUCAAAGCAGGCCUUUGCUCGAAUACGUUAGCAUGGAAUAAUAGAAUAGGACGUGCGGUCCUAUUUUGUUGGUUUCUAGGACCGCCGUAAUGAUUAAUAGGGACAGUCGGGGGCAUCAGUAUUCAAUUGUCAGAGGUGAAAUUCUUGGAUUUAUUGAAGACUAACUACUGCGAAAGCAUUUGCCAAGGAUGUUUUCAUUAAUCAGUGAACGAAAGUUAGGGGAUCGAAGACGAUCAGAUACCGUCGUAGUCUUAACCAUAAACUAUGCCGACUAGGGAUCGGGCGGUGUUUCUAUUGUGACCCGCUCGGCACCUUACGAGAAAUCAAGUGUUUGGGUUCUGGGGGGGAGUAUGGUCGCAA
rnacentral:rRNA from 1 species